UGCACAAAAAAUCGAGCUGGGGGGUUCCCUGAUCCCUGACGAUGGGGCGGGGAGAGCGGCGCCGGGGGAGGGGGCGGGCGCGGUGGCGCGGGCCCUGCCGAGGGGGGACACCUGGCUGAGGCACAGCUGCCGCCGCGCCGCGCGAACCCAGGGCUCCGGUCCCUGCACGGGCUCCAGAGCUCGCCCUGACCAGGGGUCUUCCUCCUCCGCCGUUGACAGUAGAAAAAAUGCCUAUCAACUGAUACGCCAUCUACGGACCCUCGGCCCACAGUUUCCACUGUCCCUACACCUCCGCCGAGUAAAGGAGGAGCUGCACGCAGGCGCAAGAAAAAGAGCGGGACAGACGGGAAAACCUGUCCGAGAGUAUAUCGCCACUAGGACUCCACCGAAAAAUCACUGAAAAAGUCGCCCAAAAUUACUUCGAGCAAAGGACAGUCCGCGGAGUUUCGCCAGGGUUGGCGCAGUCGGUUUUGACCUUUAGGAGAGAGCCAAUUCUGGGGAACAACCUAACUUCUUUGAUUGAACAUUCACAUAAUGCAUUGGAACAUGAUAGGAGAUUAAGGUUUAAUAAUAAUAAAAUGAAGACCAUAAUAAAACUUCCCCCUACUUAGUUCAGCAAUUCUUAACCUUAAUGACAACUUUCUAACCCCCUUACCUCCUACACCUUGAAGUUUGGAAUUAAUUUAAUCCAAUUUAGAGCAAGAAUAAUGCCAUUACCUUAGUCUCUUACCUACUUGAUGAAGAUGUUUUUUGAAAGGUGUACUUCAAGGAAUGAAACGCUGUUUGUAAUUUAUGCUUUUACCAAGGUUUCUUUUUAAGUUGAUGCCAAAUAAUUCCAAUGUUGAGCAUCUUAAAUCUGUUACUUGGAGUAUGGAUUAAGUUUGGAGCUAACUCAGAGGACUGCAGGC